UUUUUUUUUUUUUUUUUUUUUUAGCUGCAGCACGUGAGAGUUCCUGGCCAGGGAAUCAAACCAGCACCUUGGGCAGCAACCUGAGCUGCAGCAGUGACAAAGCUGGAUCCUCAAUCCACCACACCACAAGGGAACUCCUAAUAUUACCGUUUUUAAAAAACUGAAGUAUAAUUGGUGUGAAACAUUGUGUUGGUUUCACAUGUAUAUUACCAUUUUGCCAAUGAAAAAAAUGCAGAGAGCCAGUAAGUAGUAGCAAAAGACAUUAAAUCCAGUUGGAGGGUCCCCAGAGUCUGGGGCUUGACCACCACUAAAGUCCCCCCAGCCCCUGCAUUAGAAUUGCCAGAGGUAUUUUGUUAAAAUGCAAGUUACUGAAACUACCCACGAAGUUUAGUUUGCACAAGUUCUUUCGGUAAGGUUUGAGAAUCACUAAACUAGUUGAGCUUUAGUUUUUAAGUACUUUUGUUUUCUGCAGUGAUUAAAGUUGGCUGUUCCCAUGGCCACUUGGUUGCAAUGUGACCUUGGGCAAAUUACUUUACCUCUCUGAGCUUCCAAUCCUCUUAGCAAAAACGAAAACAAAAUCCCAAAUACCUAUUCAUGGACUCUGAAUCUGACCAGUGACUUCUCUGACAGGCGUUUUUCCUCUUUUUUUUUUUUUUUUUUGCCACUCUGGCAUGAGGAAGUCCCAUCGUGGCUCAGCAGUAACAAACCUGACAGAUAUCCAUGAGGAUGUGGGUUCAAUUCCUGGUCUUGAUUAGUGGGUUAAGGAUCCGGCAUUGCCAUGAGCUGUGGUACAGGUCACAGAUGCAGCUUGGCUGUGGCUGGCAGUUGUAGCUCCAAUUCCACCUCUAGCCUGGGAACUUCCAUAUGCUGCAGGUGUGGCCCUAAAAAAGAAAAAAAAAAAAGUCUCAGGGUCAAAAAGUUCUUCAAUUUUUGAGUGUUUCAACCUUGUCCUCCUUUUUCAAAAUUGGUUUGGCUAUACAUCUCUAUUUUGUUUGUUUUUGUCGCUGGACUCGGGGGACAUGCAGAAGUUCCAGGGCCAAGGGUGAAACCCACAGCACAGCAGUGACCUGAGCUGCAGUAGUGACACCAGAUCCUUAACCUGCUAAGCCACCAGGGAACUCCUCUCUCUAUAUUUUGGAAUAAAACAUUGGGAUAAAUUUUGGAAUACAUAUACGACUUGGGAAUCUUUGCAUCUCUUAAAGGGGUGGAGUGUCAUCAGGAUUAAACAUCUUCUUGGAAACCUAGUAUCAUCCAUUAGCAAAACAGGACCAACUAGGUCACACUAUAGAGACUGAAAACUGUUAUGACUGAAUUGUGUCCCCCUAAAAAAGAUAUGUUAGGAGUUCCCAUCGUAUCUCAGCAGAAAUGAACCUGACUAGUAUCCAUGAGGACGCAGGUUUGAUCCCUAGCCUUCAUCGCCUUCAUCAGUGGGUUAAGAAUCUGGUGUUGCCGUGAGCUAAGCGAAGACAUGCCUUAGAUCCCAUGUUGCUGUGGCUGUGGUGUGGGCCAGUGGCUGUAGCUCUGAUUUGACCCCUAGCCUGGGAACCUCCAUAUGCUACGGGUACAGCCCUAAGAAGACAAAAAAAAAUAAAAUAAAAUAAAUAAAUAAAAUAAAAAUAAAAAAUAAAAAAAGGAGUUCCCGUUUUGGCACAGUAGUUAAUGAAUCCUACUAGGAACCAUGGGGUUGCGGGUUCGAUCCCUGCCCUUGCUCAGUGGGUUAAGGAUCUGGCGUUGCCAUGAGCUGUGGUGUGGGUCGUGGAUGCGGCUCGGAUCCUGUGCUGCUGUGGCUCUUGCGUAGGCUGGUGGCCACAGCCCCGAUUAGACCCCUAGCUUGGGAACCGAGGGAGUGGCUCAAGAAAAGGCUAAAAGACAAAAACAAAACAAAACAAGACAAAAAAAAAAGUACAUUAAAUUUCUAAUUCCCAGUGUGUCAGAGUGUGAUCUUAUUUGGAGAGAGUCUUUACAGAAGUAACCAGGUUAAAAUGAGGUCAAUAUGAUGAGCCCUAAUCCAGUGUGACUACUGUGCUAAUAAAAAGGGAAGAUUUGGACACAGAGGCACACCCAGAGAAAAGAUGAUAUGAAGAGACAUAGGAAGAAGAUGGCCAUCACUAGCCAAAGAGUGCCUGAGGCUUCCAGAAGCUGGGAGAGAGGCCUCGGUCAGACCUUCCCAUGGAGACUUCAAAGGGACCAUGUCCCUGCUCAUACUUUGAUUUCACAUUUCUAAAUAGUAAAUGCUAGAGAGAGGGUAGAGAAAAGGGAACCCCUUCCACAUGGUCGGUGGGAAAGCACUCAGUAUGGAAAACAGUUCAGAGGGUCCUCAAAAACCUUGGAGUUCCUGUCGUGGCUCAGUGGAAAUGAAUCUUACUAGCAUCCAUGAAGACUCAGGUUCAAUCCCUGGCUUCACUCAGUGGGUUAAGGACUGGUGUUGCCAUGAUCUGUGGUGUAGGUCGCAGAUGAGGCUCAGAUCCUUUGUUGCUGUGGCUGUGGUCUAGGCCGGUGGCUACAGCUCCGACUCAACCCCUAGCCUGGGAACCUCCAUAUGCUGCAGGUGCAGCCCUAAAAAAAAAAAAAAAGAAAAGAAAACUGAAAAUAGAACUAUCAUAUGAUCCUGCAAUCCCACUCCUGGGCAUCUAUCCAGAGAAAAAUCAUAAUUUGAAAGAUACAUGUACCCCGAUUUCAUAGCAGCACUAUUCACAAUGGCCAAGAUUUGGAAGCAACCUAAAUGUUGAUUGACAGAGGAAUGGGUAAAGAAGAUGUGGUACAUAUAUACAAUGGCAUAUUACUCAGCCUUGAAAAAGAAUGAGGAAUUCUUUUUUUUUUUUUUUUCUCUUUAAUUUUAGGGCCACAUCUGUGGCAUAUGGAGAUUCCCAGGCUAGGAAUCAGAGCUGUAGCCUCUGGCUUACAUCAUAGUCACAGCGACACAGAAUCUGAGCUGGGUCUGAGACCUACACUACAGCUCACAGCAACACUGGAUCUCUGACCCACUGAGUGAGGCCAGGGACUGAACCCGCAACCUUAUGGUCCCUAGUUGGAUUUGUUUCUGCUGCACCACAACAGGAACUCUGAAUGAGGAAUUCUUUGACACAAUGGAUUAAUGAUCUGGCUGGUCUCUGUGGCAGUUCCAGUUCGAUCCUUGGCCUGAUGCAAUGGGUUAAAGGAUCUGGCAUUGAUGGAGCUAAGGCAUAGGUCACAGCUGUGGCUUAGACUCAAUCCUAGCCCUAGGAACUUCCAUAUGCUGAGAGUGCAGUCAUAAAAAAUAAAAAUAGGAGUUGCUAUUGUGGCUCAGCGGAAACAAAUCUGACUAGCAUUCCUUUUUUUUUUUUUUGCCUUUUCUAGGGCUGCAUCCGAGGCAUGUGGAGGUUCCCAGG
rnacentral:lncRNA from 1 species